UCCCCGGUAGCUCAACCGGCAGAGCGGCGGGCUGUUAACCCGGAGGUCGCAGGUUCGAGUCCUGCCCGGGGAGCCA
rnacentral:tRNA from 1 species